CAGCAGCCGCGGUAAUACGAAGGGUGCAAGCGUUAAUCGGAAUUACUGGGCGUAAAGCGUGCGUAGGCGGUGAGUUAAGUCUGCUGUGAAAUCCCCGGGCUCAACCUGGGAAUGGCAGUGGAUACUGGCUCGCUAGAGUGUGUCAGAGGAUGGUGGAAUUCCCUGUGCAGCGGUGAAAUGCGUAGAGAUGUGGAGGAAUACCGAUGGCGAAGGCAGCCCCCUGGGCCAAUACUGACGCUCAUGCACGAAAGCGUGGGGAGCAAACAGGAUUAGAUACCCGGGUAGUCCCUGUCUCUUAUAA
rnacentral:rRNA from 1 species